rnacentral:rRNA from 1 species
CAGCCGCCACGGGAAUACAGAGGGUGCAAGCGUUAAUCGGAAUUACUGGGCGUAAAGCGCGCGUAGGUGGUUUGUUAAGUUGGAUGUGAAAUCCCCGGGCUCAACCUGGGAACUGCAUCCAAAACUGGCAAGCUAGAGUAUGGUAGAGGGUGGUGGAAUUUCCUGUGUAGCGGUGAAAUGCGUAGAUAUAGGAAGGAACACCAGUGGCGAAGGCGACCACCUGGACUGAUACUGACACUGAGGUGCGAAAGCGUGGGGAGCAAACAGGAUUAGAUACCCCAGUAGUCCCUGUCUCUUAUAC